UGUGCGGCUGUAAUCACUUGCCAGGGUGGCCUCAGAGUAGCGUUUUUGCACUGGUCGGGCACUGGGAGUCCUUAUAUUUAUGCUACAGUAAGAGUACAGAUAGAGUGAUUGUUCUUGUAUUGUAAAGUGAAGAGUUAACUAGAGAAGGCACUAGCGAUCUCCUCAUCCAUUUUUUUUCUGGCUGCUAACACAUUUGCAGCUCAUUUUGACAUCUCAGGAGGAGAUGAACUUGGGAUAUUUGCUAAAGUCUAGAGUCAGAGUAGCUUUCCUGCCAUAGCCUGAUGGAUAUAGACUUUGACUAAGUGCUAAGACAUUGAGUAUGCUCAGAUUCCCUUCUCUAGUGAGCUGCACACAUAGGGCCAAGGGAACCUCUUCCUGUGUCCUCAAGAGCCUGAGGGGUGGACAACAGGAGACAAGGUCCAGAACUUGAAGCCAGUGCUGGUCUGACAGUGUAGACGUACUUGGUUGCUAGCUAAGUUAGAAAGGGAUAUCAAGGCUGAUUUUUUUUUUUUUAGUGUUAUUAUCUGGAAUUGCAGCAACUCUUGCUGCUCUAGUAGGGCUUCUUUUAGAUCUUCUCAUGUGGUAGUUGGAAGUUUUGUGGCAGAAAUCUGAGAGAGAUGGAAAGUCUUUAUGUACCUGCUUUAUGUAACUGGUCACAUUUUCAGAAGCUUUGAAGUAUCAAAUGCCCCCUAGCCUUAUUCAUAGGAGACAAUUAUAUUUUGUUUCUAGUUCUCAGCCAACCUUGACUUCCUGGUUGACUUCCAGCUUGUUACUCCCAACCUGGAGCAAUGUAGUUUUUAGGAAAAACUUGGGAGUUCUUGGCUCUGGCUCAAAGGCUUUAAUUUGAGACCUCUCUUAUCAUUUGCUCAUCUCUGUAUGCUCUGCUGUCUUUCUAUUAUCCAAGAGCUACCUCAGGACUCAUAUUCUCACCUAUUUACCAAGAUGCCAAGGGAAAUAGUCUACUUGCCUCCAGUAGGAAGCUGGAAAAAGCUCAAAAUACAUUGUAGGCUUUCCAAAACACUUACCCUGAGAUGUUCUCUUCCAUCAAAACAAAGCUCAAAGAAGCAAAAAGCAGAGAAAGAACUUUCAAAUACAUCAUUUUCUUCGCUGACUUCUCCGUUCAAAAGCAGAGGGCAAUCCAGAUGCCUGGCUCCUGGGAUACAUAAGUGACAUGACAGUGAACCCAGAGAGAUGGGCAAUGGUUAGUCAUGUGCCUGUGCUUGUAAACAUGUUUUUUUCCUUGUCCUUGUGCUUGGAACAGUCUUCUCCAACCUACAAAGCUCUCCUUUGCCAUUCACAGUUAAGUUACUUUUUCAGUAACAAUGCUCUUUCAC